rnacentral:tRNA from 2 species
GGCUGGGUAGCACAGUGGUUAUGCAGCGGAUUGCAAAUCCGUAGACGCCGGUUCGAUUCCGACCCCAGCCUCCA